rnacentral:tRNA from 1 species
GUAUUUGGUUCAGUGGUAGAACUUUCACCUUCCACGUGGGAGAAUUGGGUUCAAUUCCCGGCCAAUGUA